CUUAAGUGGGGAAUAACGCAUCGAAAGGUGUGCUAAUACCGCAUAAUCUCUGAGGAGAAAAGCAGGGGAUCGCAAGACCUUGCGCUUUUGGAGCGGCCGAUGUCUGAUUAGCUUGUUGGUAAGGUAAAAGCUUACCAAGGCUUCGAUCAGUAGCUGGUCUGAGAGGACGACCAGCCACACUGGGACUGAGACACGGCCCAGACUCCUACGGGAGGCAGCAGUGGGGAAUUUUGGACAAUGGGGGCAACCCUGAUCCAGCCAUGCCGCGUGAGUGGAGAAGGCCUUCGGGUUGUAAAGCUCUUUCAGCCGGAACGAAACGGUUACGGUUAAUACCCGUGACUACUGACGGUACCGGAAGAAGAAGCACCGGCUAACUACGUGCCAGCAGCCGCGGUAAUACGUAGGGUGCGAGCGUUAAUCGGAAUUACUGGGCGUAAAGCGUGCGCAGGUGGUUUUGUAAGUCAGAUGUGAAAUCCCCGGGCUCAACCUGGGAACUGCGUUUGAAACUACAAGGCUAGAGUGUGGCAGAGGGGGGUGGAAUUCCGCGUGUAGCAGUGAAAUGCGUAGAGAUGUGGAGGAACACCGAUGGCGAAGGCAGCCCCCUGGGUCAACACUGACGCUCAGGCACGAAAGCAUGGGGAGCAAACAGGAUUAGAUACCCUGGUAGUCCAUGCCCUAAACGAUGUCAACUAGUUGUCGGGCCUUAACGGGCUUGGUAACGUAGCUAACGCGUGAAGUUGACCGCCUGGGGAGUACGAUCGCAAGAUUAAAACUCAAAGGAAUUGACGGGGACCCGCACAAGCGGUGGAUUAUGUGGAUUAAUUCGAUGCAACGCGAAAAACCUUACCUACCCUUGACAUGUAUCGAAGCCCGCAGAAAAGCGGGGGUGCCCGAAAGGGAACGAUAACACAGGUGCUGCAUGGCUGUCGUCAGCUCGUGUCGUGAGAUGUUGGGUUAAGUCCCGCAACGAGCGCAACCCUUGUCAUUAAUUGCCAUCAUUUAGUUGGGCACUUUAAUGAGACUGCCGGUGACAAACCGGAGGAAGGUGGGGAUGACGUCAAGUCCUCAUGGCCCUUAUGGGUAGGGCUUCACACGUAA
rnacentral:rRNA from 1 species